rnacentral:tRNA from 1 species
AUUUAAAUAGUUUAAUAAAAAUAUUGAUUUGUGGUGUCAAUGAUAAGAGUAAAUCUUUUUAAAUC